rnacentral:rRNA from 1 species
GAGUUUGAUUCUGGCUCAGAACGAACGCUGGCGGCGCGUCUUAAGCAUGCAAGUCGAACGGUAAGGGAGAGCUUGCUCUCCCCUAGAGUGGCGGACUGGUGAGUAACGCGUAGGUGACCUACCCUGAAGAUGGGGAUAGCUAGUAGAAAUAUUAGAUAAUACCGAAUAAGCUCAUUUGCAUAAAGGCAGAUGAGGAAAGGAGCUACGGCUCCGCUUUAGGAUGGGCCUGCGUCCCAUUAGCUAAGUUGGUGAGGUAAAGGCUUACCAAGGCAACGAUGGGUAUCCGGCCUGAGAGGGUGAACGGACACAUUGGGACUGAGAUACGGCCCAAACUCCUACGGGAGGCAGCAGCUAAGAAUCUUCCGCAAUGGACGAAAGUCUGACGGAGCGACGCCGUGUGAAUGAAGAAGGCUGAAAAGUUGUAAAAUUCUUUUGCAGAUGAAGAAUAAGGAUAGGAGGGAAUGCCUAUCUGAUGACGG